UUCCUACACGGCUACGUCUCAGUUGUAAAGAAAUUAAGUUUUUUUCUACCAUUCGUUUAUGUGGCAAUAGUUAUUGAGCGGCCGCGGCCAUCUUUAAUCUCGAAAUGUUGCUUCUCGCGAGAUUACAUUGUUUGAAAUUCAAACAAUCGAAGCGGGAAAAAAUGAUAAAUAGAUAACUUCAGGAGUUGGGCGGAAUUAUUUUAGUUUGUUUAUAAAUUUAUACGUUUGAGUAGACAUUUCACAGCUAUCACGUGACUUGACGUUCGAAACGUCACCGUUACUUCACAGGUGGAUUUAAUAGUUUGGACUAUUUUGGCUGUAACGUCUGUGUAUUUGGUUCUUCGGAGUCUAGUGGGAGGAGGGCGUGGCUUAUUGGUGAACAACGUUUGAUUAGAAACAGUCUCCAGUUUUCAAAGUCAUUCCCUGAACACGGGACACACACCGUGAUUUACUUCGGCUAAUGUAGUCAUUUUCUACUGUAGUUAUUAUGAUGACAGCUUUACAAACCCCUAAACAGUUCAGUUAUGACAACGACGGUUCGACUUCCGGCCCCACAAUCACACCGACACCAAUCAAUCAAAGUCAUUAUCUAAUCAGAACCGUAAGGACUUCACAAACAGCAAGACAUUAAUAAUCGACAGAGGGGAAAAAAAAAACAAUUCUCUUACCAUGAAGACGUUUAUCAUAACAGGGUAGAAAGACGAUCCACGGUGAAACACGCUCGGUGAACUGGGAGUGAAACGUGUAAUUAGCUGAAUCAGAUUCAGGUGCGUCGACGUUUCUCCGUCUGUAGUUUCAGAACCCAGGAUUUUUUAUUUAUUUACUAGUUUACUUUCAAAUAUUAGACUAUAGUACACAUAUAUGCAGUACUUCUUUUCUUCAAAAUUAUAAAUAGACACAGGUCUUUCCUGGGGGGUGGGGGGCCCACGGUUGUUCCAGGGAUAACUGCAGAGGGCGUUCAACCACCUCACUGGCGCCGCCUAUUGUUAGACAUGACAAAACCUAUUAAAAACAAUAUUAGCUCUACUGGAUAGUAAUUUUUUGCCCUUGAGGAAAGUGUUUAAUAAAAUACUUUAAUUAAGAAUGAGGUAAAUGAAUAUAUAUACGUAUAUAUUUUUAUAUACAUACAUAUAAAUAUGUACUCACUGUUUGUACUAAACUGUAUACAGUAUUUAACAAAUCUACUUUUCCAAAAAUACUUUUUUUUUAUUUUUUAUUGACCAUAGAACCCCGGUGCAGAGUUUAAAACCCAGAUUUACGAGGCCCGAUCAGAGACCACUAUCCUGGGACUUCAGACCAGGUUUGAACCGUUCUAAGAAACGACGCCAUCUUCAGUCCCAGACCAGCGUUGACAGACAGAGAGACACCAGGCAGAGGGCUGAGGCCACAGCUUUGGUAUUAAUGUGGUCAACCAGACGCUUUUAAUUUCAAUCAGUUUUUAACUGCGAUCCUAGAAUCCGAUCGCUGCCAAAUGAUUUCAUUAAAAUACACCAGCAGAGGUCUGGAGCUCCACAGAACCCUGCAGACCCGCUCUGUCCAAAUCCUGCCGCUCACAGAGGAAGAAAUCUUAACUUAAAAAAAAAGAAAAACAAAAGAACAAACAUACAGCAUCGCUCUGACCAGACGCCACUCUCGCCCUGUGAUUAAGUGCACGGUGGAGAGAGAGAGAGAGAGAGAGAGAGAGAAAGA